rnacentral:rRNA from 6 species
CACACCCGUUCCCAUACCGAACACGGAAGUUAAGCUCUUUAGCGCCGAUGGUAGUUGGGGGCUUCCCCCUGUGAGAGUAGGACGUCGCUAGGC